UACGAAGGGAGCUAGCGUUGUUCGGAAUCACUGGGCGUAAAGCGCACGUAGGCGGAGUGUGUCAGUCAGGGGUGAAAUCCCGGAGCUCAAACUUCGGAACUGCCUCUGAUACAGCACGUUCUUGAGUUCGGGAGAGGUGAGUGGAACUGCGAGUGUAGAGGUGAAAUUCGUAGAUAUUCGCAAGAACACCAGUGGCGAAGGCGGCUCACUGGCCCGGUACUGACGCUGAGGUGCGAAAGCGUGGG
rnacentral:rRNA from 1 species